UUGGAANGUAAAGUCGUANCAAGGUUUCCGUAGGUGAACCUGCGGAAGGAUCAUUACAGAAUGAAAAGUGCUUAACUGCAUUUUUUCUUACACAUGUGUUUUUCUUUUUUUGAAAACUUUGCUUUGGUAGGCCUUCUAUAUGGGGCCUGCCAGAGAUUAAACUCAACCAAAUUUUAUUUAAUGUCAACCGAUUAUUUAAUAGUCAAAACUUUCAACAACGGAUCUCUUGGUUCUCGCAUCGAUGAAGAACGCAGCGAAAUGCGAUAAGUAAUAUGAAUUGCAGAUAUUCGUGAAUCAUCGAAUCUUUGAACGCACAUUGCGCCCUUUGGUAUUCCAAAGGGCAUGCCUGUUUGAGCGUCAUUUCUCCCUCAAACCCUCGGGUUUGGUGUUGAGCGAUACGCUGGGUUUGCUUGAAAGAAAGGCGGAGUAUAAACUAAUGGAUAGGUUUUUUCCACUCAUUGGUACAAACUCCAAAACUUCUUCCAAUUCGACCUCAAAUCAGGUAGGACUACCCCGCUGAACUUAAGCAUAUCAAUGCGGGNGGGAA
rnacentral:sRNA from 1 species